CAAUCCGCUUCGAAUAUUAAGCUACCAAAUGAGAUCGUGGACUACCUAACAAAAUCAAUGGUCCGACAGGACGAGCUUUUUCGAGUAGUUCAGUCCCUGGUUGCUAGUAGACCAAUCACUACGUCUGAGGAAGAACACGACGAUUUCGUAGAAAAACUUCCCGAUUUCCCUAUUUCUUCUAUGGAAGACUUUCUUUCAUUGGAGAGGGAGCUGCUUCAAAAACGUUUCAAGAUAUAUUUUGUUCGUUACCUUAUAUCUUUGGGAGGUGGUACUCUUGCUGAUUCUUCCAAGCUUUUAUUAAGGCAUUGCUUAGACAAGGUUGUUGCAAUCGAAUAUAGCCACCAAGGAAAAGGAAAACUGAAAAAAAACCUUUGAACGCAACUGAAUUUUACAAAGCAUAUAAAGUUGCACUUCGCAAGCGCCACAAGAAAAUUUACGAUAAUUCAACGGUUAAUAACUGCAUUGUAAAUUUCCUGCGUGGUUCAAAGGAUCGCAAAGGCGGAAGGAACCAAAGGCGUAAGAUUGCUGGAGAAGAUGAAGAAAACAAAGAAAACGAUAACAUCACAGACGAAGAAAAUGAAGACGAAGAAAAUGAAGACGAUGAAAUUGAUAUCCAAGGGACUUCGGAUGAGGACUGAAAAUUUAUAUUAGUUGAUCUGUUUUUUCAGUUUCCGUUUGUUCAUUUUUUGUUAAAAUAAGUAAAUGUUACAAAUACAACAA